ACGGUCGCAAGAUUAAAACUCAAAUGAAUUGACGGGGGCCCGCACAAGCGGUGGAGCAUGUGGUUUAAUUCGAUGCAACGCGAAGAACCUUACCUACUCUUGACAUCCAGAGAAUCCAGCGGAGACGCAGGAGUGCCUUCGGGAGCUCUGAGACAGGUGCUGCAUGGCUGUCGUCAGCUCGUGUUGUGAAAUGUUGGGUUAAGUCCCGCAACGAGCGCAACCCUUAUCCUUGUUUGCCAGCGAGUAAUGUCGGGAACUCCAGGGAGACUGCCGGUGAUAAACCGGAGGAAGGUGGGGACGACGUCAAGUCAUCAUGGCCCUUACGAGUAGGGCUACACACGUGCUACAAUGGCGCAUACAGAGGGCAGCCAACUUGCGAAAGUGAGCGAAUCCCAAAAAGUGCGUCGUAGUCCGGAUUGGAGUCUGCAACUCGACUCCA
rnacentral:rRNA from 1 species